AUGAAAAGAACUUUGAAAAGAGAGUCAAAAAGUGCUUGAAAUUGUUGAGGGGGAAGCCAUUGGCAGGUCAAGAUGCGCCCGGGCUCGAAGCUGGCUUAACGGCCUGUGUCACGCGCCGGGCGCCUGUCAGCUUGGGUUCGGUGUGUGGGAGAAACCCGCCUUUGUCGGCGGUCUAUGCCGCGCGCCGGACUCAUGCUGACUUAAGGCCGUCAAUGGGCCCGUCUUGAAACACGGACCAAGGAGUCUAACAUGUACGCGAGUUGGCGGGUGGAAAACCCGUAAGCGCAAGGAAACUGACUGGUGGGAGGGCCUGUGCCUGCACCAUCGACCGACCAUGAUCUUCUGUGAAAGGUUCGAGUACGAGCGUACCUGUUGGGACCCGAAAGAUGGUGAACUAUGCCUGAGCAGGGCGAAGCCAGAGGAAACUCUGGUGGAGGCUCGUAGAUGUGCUGACGUGCAAAUCGCUUUUCGGACUUGGGUAUAGGGGCGAAAGACUAAUCGAACCAUCUAGUAGCUGGUUCCCUCCGAAGUUUCCCCCAGGAUAGCUGGAGCUUUUCAGUUUUAUCA
rnacentral:rRNA from 1 species